rnacentral:misc_RNA from 1 species
AACGCACCUUGCGCCCUGUGGUAUUCCGCAGGGCAUGCCCGUUUGAGUAUCAUUAAAUCAUCAACCUCAAAUCCUUUGUGUUUUCGAGGCUUGGUCUUGAGGGUUUUUGCAGGCUUUUCACAAGUCAGCUCCCUUUAAAUUCAUUAGCGAGACUUCCCUUUUGCUGAACCGUCUCUUUGGCAUGAUAAUUAUCUGUGUCAUCGUUGGUUCUCGUUGGGCUUGCUUCUAAUCGUCUUUGGACAACAGGAUUUGGGUGCAUAUAUGCGUCUAUUUCUAAACCUAUUUUGAUCUCAAAUCGGGUAGGACUACCCGCUGAACUUAA